rnacentral:rRNA from 1 species
UACGUAGGGCGCAAGCGUUGUCCGGAAUUAUUGGGCGUAAAGAGCUCGUAGGCGGUCUGUCGCGUCUGCCGUGAAAACCCGAGGCUUAACCUCGGGCUGGCGGUGGAUACGGGCAGACUAGAGGUAGGUAGGGGAGAAUGGAAUUCCCGGUGUAGCGGUGAAAUGCGCAGAUAUCAGGAGGAACACCGGUGGCGAAGGCGGGUCUCUGGGCCGAUACUGACGCUGAGGAGCGAAAGCGUGGGGAGCGAACAGG